AAGAUUGUUAUAUUGAUUUUGUAAGCAUUUGGUGUGUAUAUGCAUGUCUGGAUUUUUUUUUUCUGGACGUUAACUCAUUUAGUCCUUUAGUUUUGGACGUAUCUGAUCUACUUUACAUAUUUGUAAAUAUGUUUUUAUUGAUGGUUGGUCCUAUAGUGAUUGCUUAAUGGUUUGAAAAUGGUCCUAUGUUUUCAAUUAUUUUGUUUUCCAAUAAUAACAUACAAUCUGUUUAUGGACUUUGGUUGUUUUUAUUGAAAGUGAUAAUGUUUGAAGACAACCAAUGAAGUAAUAAGAGUAUCUUGUAGAAUACAAGAAGCAUGAAUUUUUUUUGUGUGUUGAUGACAUUCAAGUUCUGAUGACUUAAUGUUUACGUGUAGAUUCAGUCGAAGUUGGGUUACAGUACAUUGAGAAGUUCAAGUCUUGAAGAAUUUCAUCUCAAUUUUUUCUUAGCCACUCAAAAGGUUAGCAUGGUGAUGUUAAUAUUCUCUUGUUAGAGCUCUCUAUCGAUGUUUCUGUCACUCUCAAUCGAUAGAUUAAUGAUCAAUGAUGCCACUAGUUUAAGUGGCAUUUUGGAAAAACAUGCUAAGUUUUUUUUUUUUAAUAAGAUUCUUUGUAAAUAUUAAAUAUUAGGGUGGGUGUGGAAAUGGAUGGAGAGAUUGGAGAAUGAAAUCUGUCCUUUUUUUUUUUUUUUUUGGAGAGAGGGGAUUUUCAAGAUGAGCGUAUAUCAAAAGACGAAUGAGAUAUUUAAAAAAAGAGUUGUAAACUCUUUAGGAUUGUAUGAAGGAAAGAAACAGAUAAACGAUAUAUUAUUAUUUAUGAAUGUAUUGAAAUGCUAAUGAUGUUGUGUGAUUGUGUUUGUCCCGAUAUAGGAUGUUUGAGUCACACAACAAUCCUUGAAUUAUGUUAUUCAAUACUUCUUCUGUGCGUAUCAUUAAUUUUUAAGAUUAUAUGACAACAAGUAUUCUUUAUUAUUUUCGUAAAAAUAUCAUUACCUAUUCAUUGAUUUCUGAAUUUUUUAUAGUUAAUUUGCAUUAUUUAGUAGAUUUAUGGCAAGGAAUUGGAAAAGGUUUUCUUUCACUUGAUUUGUUCCUUGAAUGUUGUUUUGAGUGAGUGGGUAAAUUACAAAUAUAUAGACUUAGUGGGGUGGAGUAGAGAAAGGGGAGAGUGAAUUUGUCUUUUAUUUAUAUUAUUUUAAUGUAGAUACGGUUCAUUAAUGCUAACUUGUUUGUAGUUUGUUACUCCUUUGAACUAAUUGAUUUCAUUGGUUCAAGGAAGUAGAUUUUCAAAUUGAAAAUUGUGGGUUCCAAUCUACAUAAGUAAUUUCCAUGUUUGCACAGUAGGAUAAUUAUUGGUGUUCAUUGGAUUAUAAGAUAUGCUAUUAUUCAGGAUCUAGUUUCAGAUUCUUAUUUUUUUUAGGAUCUAGUUGUGGGUAUUGAUGUGCUUAAUCUUCAUGAGAUUUUGUUUACUGCAUGUUCCUAACUUCAUGUUAUGUUACUCUUUGUCCAAAAUUCUAUCUACUUUGUUGAUGUUAGUUCUUUUCUCCUAUUUGCAGUGGGGAAUCUAUGUUACUAGUUUGUGAGAAGAGAUUGUUGCUUCUUUUGAGAAAGUUAAUUUCAAAAGAAUACAAUCUUUUGCUUCCUCCUUAAAGAGCUCAAUGGAAUUUUCUUUUGUUUCCAAAUUUAUUUUAUAUUUCUCAGCCCUUGGGUUAAUAAUUCUAAAAUUCUGAUUGAUACUGAAGAGUUGAAUAGGGAGCUCAAUGGAAUUUAACCCCUUUGAUGCUAUUAUUUGCUUUAUAUAUGUGUUUUUCUGGAUGGAACGCAUUGGGUCAUGGGAGAACAACAAGAAAGCAGCUCUUGAGGCUGAACUAAAACAAAUUGAGACUAUCGGUUCCAAUUUGUAGGAACGGUGUAUUUAGGUACUUUAGAACCUCAACUACCUUCAAGUAGAUUGUACAUUGUAAGGAAAUCAUAGUAAGCCUUCAGAUGUAUGAUCAUAGAGAAUUGGCAAGCAUCCAAUAGAAAUGGAGCACGUCAGAUAAUAAAGGUAUAUAUCUUAUGAAGGCUAGCAACUCAAGAGGAUACCUCUAACAUAUAAAGAAGAUAAGAACAAUCUAACGAUAUAGUUAACAGGUUCAACUGGAGUCGACAACUUCAUGAGUUUACUUUCAAAGAACAUUUUCAGAGACAAAC